rnacentral:rRNA from 1 species
AUUGAACGCUGGCGGAAUGCUUUACACAUGCAAGUCGAACGGCAGCACGGGGGCAGCCCUGGUGCCGGGGGGCGAACGGGGGGGUAAUCAACCGGAACGGGCCCGGUCGUGGGGGAAAACUUGGCGAAAGUACGGCUAAUACCGCAUCCGAUCUGAGGUGGAAACCGGGGACCCUCCGGGCUUGGGGCGAUCGGACGGGCGGAUGUCAGAGUAGGUAGUUGGUGGGGUAAAGGCCUACCAAGCGGACGAUCUGUAGCUGGUCUGAGAGGACGACCAGCCACACUGGGACUGAGACACGGCCCAGACUCCUACGGGAGGCAGCAGUGGGGAAUUUUGGACAAUGGGCGCAAGCCUGAUCCAGCCAUUCCGCGUGCAGGACGAAGGCCUUCGGGUUGUAAACUGCUUUUGUACGGAACGAAAAGGCUCUGGCUAAUACCUGGGGCUCAUGACGGUACCGUAAGAAUAAGCACCGGCUAACUACGUG